rnacentral:rRNA from 1 species
GAUGAACGCUGGCGGCGUGCCUAAUACAUGCAAGUCGAGCGAACGGACGAGAAGCUUGCUUUUCUGAUGUUAGCGGCGGACGGGUGAGUAACACGUGGAUAACCUACCUAUAAGACUGGGAUAACUUCGGGAAACCGGAGCUAAUACCGGAUAAUAUUUUGAACCGCAUGGUUCAAAAGUGAAAGACGGUCUUGCUGUCACUUAUAGAUGGAUCCGCGCUGCAUUAGCUAGUUGGUAAGGUAACGGCUUACCAAGGCAACGAUGCAUAGCCGACCUGAGAGGGUGAUCGGCCACACUGGAACUGAGACACGGUCCAGACUCCUACGGGAGGCAGCAGUAGGGAAUCUUCCGCAAUGGGCGAAAGCCUGACGGAGCAACGCCGCGUGAGUGAUGAAGGUCUUCGGAUCGUAAAACUCUGUUAUUAGGGAAGAACAUAUGUGUAAGUAACUGUGCACAUCUUGACGGUACCUAAUCAGAAAGCCACGGCUAACUACGUGCCAGCAGCCGCGGUAAUACGUAGGUGGCAAGCGUUAUCCGGAAUUAUUGGGCGUAAAGCGCGCGUAGGCGGUUUUUUAAGUCUGAUGUGAAAGCCCACGGCUCAACCGUGGAGGGUCAUUGGAAACUGGAAAACUUGAGUGCAGAAGAGGAAAGUGGAAUUCCAUGUGUAGCGGUGAAAUGCGCAGAGAUAUGGAGGAACACCAGUGGCGAAGGCGACUUUCUGGUCUGUAACUGACGCUGAUGUGCGAAAGCGUGGGGAUCAAACAGGAUUAGAUACCCUGGUAGUCCACGCCGUAAACGAUGAGUGCUAAGUGUUAGGGGGUUUCCGCCCCUUAGUGCUGCAGCUAACGCAUUAAGCACUCCGCCUGGGGAGUACGACCGCAAGGUUGAAACUCAAAGGAAUUGACGGGGACCCGCACAAGCGGUGGAGCAUGUGGUUUAAUUCGAAGCAACGCGAAGAGCCUUACCAAAUCUUGACAUCCUUUGACAACUCUAGAGAUAGAGCCUUCCCCUUCGGGGGACAAAGUGACAGGUGGUGCAUGGUUGUCGUCAGCUCGUGUCGUGAGAUGUUGGGUUAAGUCCCGCAACGAGCGCAACCCUUAAGCUUAGUUGCCAUCAUUAAGUUGGGCACUCUAAGUUGACUGCCGGUGACAAACCGGAGGAAGGUGGGGAUGACGUCAAAUCAUCAUGCCCCUUAUGAUUUGGGCUACACACGUGCUACAAUGGACAAUACAAAGGGCAGCGAAACCGCGAGGUCAAGCAAAUCCCAUAAAGUUGUUCUCAGUUCGGAUUGUAGUCUGCAACUCGACUACAUGAAGCUGGAAUCGCUAGUAAUCGUAGAUCAGCAUGCUACGGUGAAUACGUUCCCGGGUCU